GGGGUGUGACUGCGUACCUUUUGUAUAAUGGGUCAGCGACUUAUAUUCUGUAGCAAGGUUAACCGAAUAGGGGAGCCGGAGGGAAACCGAGUCUUAAUUGGGCGUUAAGUUGCAGGGUAUAGACCCGAAACCCGGUGAUCUAGCCAUGGGCAGGUUGAAGGUUGGGUAACACUAACUGGAGGACCGAACCGACUAAUGUUGAAAAAUUAGCGGAUGACCUGUGGCU
rnacentral:rRNA from 1 species